AUAUAACAGAGGAAUACAUUUUAGUCUUUACAUUUCAAGUCUGGAAGUUGGGAGCCCGCCCAUAUAACAGAGGAAUACAUUUCAGUCUUUACAUUUCAAGUUUUGAAGUUGGGAGUCUGCCCAUAUAACAGAGGAAUACAUUUCAGUCUUUACAUUUCAAGUUUUGAAGUUGGGAGCACGCCCAUAUAACAGAGGAAUACAUUUCAGUCUUUACAUUUCAAGUUUUGAAGUUGGGAGCCCGCCCAUAUAACAGAGGAAUACAUUUCAGUCUUUACAUUUCAAGUUUUGAAGUUGGGAGCCCGCCCAUAUAAUAGAGGAAUACAUUUCAGUCUUUACAUUUCAAGUCCAGAGGUUGGGAGCCCGCCCAUAUAACAGAGGAAUACAUUUUAGUCUUUACAUUUCAAGUCUGGAAGUUGGGAGCCC
rnacentral:lncRNA from 1 species